rnacentral:rRNA from 1 species
UACGUAGGAGGCAAGCGUUGUCCGGAAUCACUGGGCGUAAAGCGCGUGUAGGUGGUGGGACAAGUCUGCUGUGAAAGCGCCUGGCUUAACCGGGCGAGGUCGGCGGAAACUGUUCGACUCGAGGACGGUAGAGGGGGGUGGAAUUCCCGGUGUAGUGGUGAAAUGCGUAGAGAUCGGUAGGAACACCAGUGGCGAAGGCGGUCUCCUGGGGCAUUCUUGACGCUGAGGCGCGAAAGCUGGGGGGAGCGAACGGG